UCUUUGCCCUUGAUAUUAAACUAGAUUAGUUUAACAUGUGAAAUGUCCGUAAAGUAUCGUCAUAUGAUUGGUUUUAGGGCACAUUUCCAACAAUCUCCCACUUGCACUAGAGCCAAUCAGCUUGGUCAUCAAUGAUGAUACCUCUUCUGUAGUCAUUUCAUAAAUGGCUGAGUAGUAGGCCUAGACAAUGGAUAUCUAUAUGUUAUCCAUAGAAGCAACCUUGAGAAUAACGACGUCACCAUUAUACAUGAUUCUUAAUCAUGUGGUUCAGUCUCCCAUUUGAGUUCGGACCUUGAUGAGACCUUGAUUCCCUGGCUUGAGCUAUCGCCCCAUUAGUGUCAGACACUUUCUGGUUGGAACCGAAUAGAGAGUUCAUAAAUGAACUUUCCCAUCCAAACAACAUUGUUGUAAGCUUCUAUAUGGCAAUAUAUUUUGCAUUCAUAAUGGAACAUACUAAAGUCAUUACUUUUAAUGUUUCCAUCCAAAUAUCUCUUUAGUCAUAAUAAAGAGAUAUCUGAUUAUCUUCAUUCAUAAUGAAAAAACAUCCAAUGAUGGAUUAGAUUCAUAAUCUAAUACAUUUACGCUUCCUUUACGUUACUCUAAUUCUUCCUCAUGCUUUGAGGAAUCUAUCCUUUAGUAUUUCUCAAAUACUUAAGGAUUCACUUGACAAUUGCUAUGGUUCUGAUCCUGGGCUUGCACUGAUAUCGUCUUGUACCUUUCUAGGUACAACUUAUAUCAAUGUUUUUCAUACAAUAUGAAAUACAUAAAUCACCUUUCUGCGUAUGCAUAAAGGAUUCUAUUUACGCAUUAUUUCUUUGGGAGUCAAAGGGUACGUUCCCUUUGAGAAGGGCAACUUGCUAAUCUCACUAGAGUCGUCCUUCUAAUUGAAGUUUAUCAUCAUAUGAGAAACUUCCUAGCAUCUAUAGUUUAUUAUUAGGGAUUGAUAUAAUCAAAUUAUAUUUUGAAAUCUACCACUAUAGAUUUACUUCCCAUGUUUAUAGACUAUGUCUCCCAUAUACAUUCUAUCGUUAUAGAAUGUUUAAAGUCAUAACUUUAACGAAGAAGUAUUCUUUUCAUUUCCAAAAUUAAUAUAUCAUAUAUGUGUAUAUAUAUAUAUAUAUAUAUAUAUAUUCAAAUUUAGGAACAUGAUUAACUCCCACUAAUCUUUUGUAAACCUAGUAAACAAAAGAUUCAUUUACAUCUUUAUGAGAAAUCAAACGAUUUGAUCUUUCUCUCAUAAGACACUUAUAGCUCCCACUAGCUUGCUAAGAUUCAUGAUGGAUGGAUCUUUACAACUUACAUGUCUUGUGAUUCAUAGUUUAGACAUAUAUAUUAUCAAGACUAUCUUAAUAAUGGUUUCAGAAACCCAUAUUAUGUCCAAACAUUGAAUCACCAUUUAGUUGUAGCUAGCAAUCUUCGAAUUAAUUGAAACCAAGACUACGUCAAAGAUGGUUUCUUCCAAGUCAACCAAUCUCUUUAAUUGUAGUCACCUUAAGCUACCAAUUAGCUAUAGAGGUUUCAUUAUUUCGGAUCAAAUGGUACUUUACCAUUUCAUUGAGUAUAUAUCGCAUAUACAUUCAAUGUAGUCAUAAGGAUUUUUAUUCUUAUUUCUUUCGAAUUAAGAGGUGCAACUCUAUGACAUAGUCAUAAAGUUCAAACCAUUCAACUGAGACGGUUUAUAAAUCCUUCUCGACUACCUUGGAGCUUGUGGUAUAGGAACUAGGUUGUUAUAUUCGUUGAUCACUAUCUUGUUUCUCAAAGAACCCAUUCUUUGAGUUCUAUCCCUCGUUCAUUUGCUCUAUCUUAGGCAAAUCCUAGUGUAGGAUUACAAUGAACUACCCAACAAAACAACAUUUGUUAGUUGGUUUAUAGAAGUGAUAUCCAAAGGUUAAUUUAAGGAUAUCCACAAGAUAAUUCUCAAACAAAUAUUGCUUAUUAGCACACAACCCCAAAUCUUAACAUGAUUAAGAUUUGUCUUUCUUUCCAACUACAUCUUACGGAGUCAUGAAAAUUUUGGAAGAUCUUCUAAUUGACAAUCAUAUUGUCUUAGAAGCAUAUAUCCUAUUUAUGGGUAAUUGAUAACAUCCAACGAACUAAAUCUUAUUCAAGUUCGUUCUUCUCCUAAUGGAGAAAUGCAUUAUCAUAUGAUGCUUCAUUCCUUGAUAUCUUUCAAGGAAACUGUUCUAAAGUGUUACCUUUCCUUGGAUCAAAUCUAAGAAGGUAAAUACUUUAGACGUCUUACUCAUCAACUUACAUUUCUUGAAUUCUUUGAAACCUUUUGCAAAGUAUUCUAACUUGUGUUUAUUCAAAAUAAACUAUAGUCCAACCUAGAGUGAUCUUCGGUGAAUGUCAUACAACAUGAGUAGUAUUAUGUUGUGGACAAGUGCCACUAACAUCUAAGUGAAUUAACCUCAACAACUUUGUGAUUCUUUCUUCUUUCCAAAAGAAUAAAGAUUCGAACAUUUCGCCUCCAUACAAUUUUAAUAAGAAGGUAUUGGAUCCGGAUCUAACGAUCCAAAUCAUCCAUCUAUGACCAACUCAUAAUUUAUGUUUUAGAGGUAUCACAACUCAGUUGGGAUUAGUCACUACCUUGCAACCUUUGGGUUUUAAGCAUCGUUAUAUUCUAAACAAUUAACACUACCAUAUCAUCUCUACUAUAGAGACAAUCAAUUAGAUUACAAUAAUCUAAUCAUUCAUUAA
rnacentral:lncRNA from 1 species